UACGUAGGGGGCGAGCGUUGUCCGGAUUUACUGGGCGUAAAGCGCACGCAGGCGGUCUGCUAAGUUUGGAGUGACAGUUGGUGGCUUAACUGCCAAAGUGCUUCGAAAACUGACAGACUUGAGGGCUUCAGAGGGACACGGAAUUCCGGGUGGAGUGGUGAAAUGCGUAGAGAUCCGGAGGAACACCAAAGGCGAAGGCAGUGUCCUGGGGAGGACCUGACGCUCAGGUGCGAAAGCCAGGGGAGCGAACGGG
rnacentral:rRNA from 1 species